rnacentral:tmRNA from 1 species
ACUCAUUGGACCCGGGGGCGGUACCCGGCGCCUCCACCAAAAUAUAAUGAAUGAAAGUUAUAUUUUGGUGGGGGCGAAAUAGGAUCGACAAGAGCGUAAAGAUUGCUCUUUUACUCGGCAUAGUACCACCGUUAUCGGACUAAAUGAGUAGUUGCAAAUGACAACUAUGCGGAAGCACGUCUCGCCGCUUAAGGUGGUGUGAAUGUUUCAAAUUAAGUCUUAAACCGUCGCAGGUUUAAGCGGGGUCCGAAGG